CGGGGGGCAGCAGUGGGGAAUAUUGGACAAUGGGGGCAACCCUGAUCCAGCCAUGCCGCGUGUGUGAAGAAGGCCUUCGGGUUGUAAAGCACUUUAAGCGAGGAGGAAGGUCUUUGAACUAAUAUUUCAAAGAAUUGACGUUACUCGCAGAAUAAGCACCGGCUAACUCUGUGCCAGCAGCCGCGGUAAUACAGAGGGUGCAAGCGUUAAUCGGAAUUACUGGGCGUAAAGCGCGCGUAGGCGGUAUGUUAAGUCGGAUGUGAAAUCCCUGGGCUCAACCUAGGCAUUGCAUCCGAUACUGGCACACUAGAGUGUGGGAGAGGAAGGUAGAAUUCCAGGUGUAGCGGUGAAAUGCGUAGAGAUCUGGAGGAAUACCGAUGGCGAAGGCAGCCUUCUGGCCUAACACUGACGCUGAGGUGCGAAAGCAUGGGGAGCAAACAGGAUUAGAUACCCGAGU
rnacentral:rRNA from 1 species